rnacentral:rRNA from 1 species
GGAUUCCCCUAGUAACUGCGAGUGAAGCGGGAAAAGCUCAAAUUUAAAAUCUGGCAGUCGUUGGCUGUCCGAGUUGUAUUCUGGAGAAGCGUUUUCCGCGCUGGACCGUGUACAAGUCUCUUGGAAUAGAGCGUCGUAGAGGGUGAGAAUCCCGUCUUUGACACGGACUACCAGUGCUUUGUGAUGCGCUCUCAAAGAGUCGAGUUGUUUGGGAAUGCAGCUCAAAAUGGGUGGUGAAUUCCAUCUAAAGCUAAAUAUUGGCGAGAGACCGAUAGCGAACAAGUACCGUGAGGGAAAGAUGAAAAGCACUUUGGAAAGAGAGUUAAACAGUACGUGAAAUUGCUGAAAGGGAAACGCUUGAAGUCAGUCGCGUCAUUCAGAACUCAGCCUGGCUUUUGCCUGGUGUAUUUUCUGGUUGACGGGCCAGCAUCAGUUUUGACCGCUGGAAAAAGGCCAUAGGAAUGUGGCACCCUCGGGUGUGUUAUAGCCUAUGGUCAUAUACAGCGGUUGGGACUGAGGACCGCAGCACGCCUUUAUGGUUGGGGUUCGCCCACAUUCGUGCUUAGGAUGCUGGCGUAAUGGCUUUAAACGACCCGUCUUGAAACACGGACCAAGGAGUCUAACAUGCCUGCGAGUGUUUGGGUGGAAAACCCGAGCGCGUAAUGAAAGUGAAAG